ACAGUUUCCUUUGAUUGGUGGAUUACAGAAAUAGGCCAGCAGUGGAAUUCAUUAUAUUCAGCUAAGUAAAAAUGAAAAAUAUAAUAACUUUCCCCCAUCGUCAAUGUGAAGAAAAUAUAGCAUGUAAUGACAUAUGAAUCAUCAUUAGAUGACACAGACUCUUCAGAGAGAGAACCGUGAUGAUCAUCCUAUGCCUAAUUUGGGCUGCUGCGUGCUCCUGGGGAGAAACGGCUGAGGGUGUCAGAGCCAAGCAGGGCUUGUUCUCCCGGCUCUCACUCCACUCUCCCAUGCUGGCCCAGGCCAGCUCACUGCCCAGGUGGACAGGCCCUCUUGCUCAGCGGAAGACUGACUUCAUAGCUCAGCUCUCUUCUCCACAAGCAAAUUCGGGAGGCAGAUGGAAGAUGAGCCUGGAAAGAGGGGUCAGGGAGCUACCUCUAAAAUCAAAUUUGUGGUGGAGAAUGGAGAACAACCAGGCAGUCUGGGGAAGAGUCUGGGAGCCACGAAGACAAACAUUAUAAUGGAUUGGGCACUGGACUGAUGUUUGGCACACAGUUAAUUGUUUUUAACAGCCCCUUCCUCUAUAUGAAAAAUUACUUUUGAUGAGAAUCAUAAAAGAAAGUGAGCAGUAACAGUCAGAAAAGAAAUAUUCUUUGUUAAAUUCUGUUUUAUAAAUAUGACAUUAAAAAUAAGUUGCUAAUGUAA